rnacentral:rRNA from 1 species
AAGAAAGCUUGCUUUCUUUGCUGGCGACCGGCGCACGGGUGAGUAACACGUAUCCAACCUACCCUUUACUCGGGGAUAGCCUUUCGAAAGAAAGAUUAAUACCCGAUAGCAUAAUGAUUCCGCAUGGUUUCAUUAUUAAAGGAUUCCGGUAAAGGAUGGGGAUGCGUUCCAUUAGGUUGUUGGUGGGGUAACGGCCCACCAAGCCUUCGAUGGAUAGGGGUUCUGAGAGGAAGGUCCCCCACAUUGGAACUGAGACACGGUCCAAACUCCUACGGGAGGCACAUG